GACGAACGCUGGCGGCGUGCUUAACACAUGCAAGUCGAGCGGUAAGGCCCUUUCGGGGGUACACGAGCGGCGAACGGGUGAGUAACACGUGGGUGACCUGCCCUCAGCUCUGGGAUAAGCCUGGGAAACUGGGUCUAAUACCGGAUAUUCACUUCUCAUCGCAUGGUGGGUUGUGGAAAGUUUUUUCGGCUGGGGAUGGGCCCGCGGCCUAUCAGCUUGUUGGUGGGGUGAUGGCCUACCAAGGCGA
rnacentral:rRNA from 1 species